rnacentral:rRNA from 1 species
CGGCAGCGGGGGUAGCUUGCUACCUGCCGGCGAGUGGCGAACGGGUGAGUAAUACAUCGGAACGUGCCCUGUAGUGGGGGAUAACUAGUCGAAAGACUGGCUAAUACCGCAUACGACCUGAGGGUGAAAGUGGGGGACCGCAAGGCCUCAUGCUAUAGGAGCGGCCGAUGUCUGAUUAGCUAGUUGGUGGGGUAAAGGCCCACCAAGGCGACGAUCAGUAGCUGGUCUGAGAGGACGAUCAGCCACACUGGGACUGAGACACGGCCCAGACUCCUACGGGAGGCAGCAGUGGGGAAUUUUGGACAAUGGGGGCAACCCUGAUCCAGCAAUGCCGCGUGUGUGAAGAAGGCCUUCGGGUUGUAAAGCACUUUUGUCCGGAAAGAAAUCGCUUCGGUUAAUACCUGGAGUGGAUGACGGUACCGGAAGAAUAAGGACCGGCUAACUACGUGCCAGCAGCCGCGGUAAUACGUAGGGUCCAAGCGUUAAUCGGAAUUACUGGGCGUAAAGCGUGCGCAGGCGGUUGUGCAAGACCGAUGUGAAAUCCCCGGGCUUAACCUGGGAAUUGCAUUGGUGACUGCACGGCUAGAGUGUGUCAGAGGGGGGUAGAAUUCCACGUGUAGCAGUGAAAUGCGUAGAGAUGUGGAGGAAUACCGAUGGCGAAGGCAGCCCCCUGGGAUAACACUGACGCUCAUGCACGAAAGCGUGGGGAGCAAACAGGAUUAGAUACCCUGGUAGUCCACGCCCUAAACGAUGUCAACUAGUUGUUGGGGAUUCAUUUUCUUAGUAACGUAGCUAACGCGUGAAGUUGACCGCCUGGGGAGUACGGUCGCAAGAUUAAAACUCAAAGGAAUUGACGGGGACCCGCACAAGCGGUGGAUGAUGUGGAUUAAUUCGAUGCAACGCGAAAAACCUUACCUACCCUUGACAUGCCACUAACGAAGCAGAGAUGCAUUAGGUGCUCGAAAGAGAAAGUGGACACAGGUGCUGCAUGGCUGUCGUCAGCUCGUGUCGUGAGAUGUUGGGUUAAGUCCCGCAACGAGCGCAACCCUUGUCUCUAGUUGCUACGAAAGGGCACUCUAGAGAGACUGCCGGUGACAAACCGGAGGAAGGUGGGGAUGACGUCAAGUCCUCAUGGCCCUUAUGGGUAGGGCUUCACACGUCAUACAAUGGUGCAUACAGAGGGUUGCCAAGCCGCGAGGUGGAGCUAAUCCCAGAAAAUGCAUCGUAGUCCGGAUCGUAGUCUGCAACUCGACUACGUGAAGCUGGAAUCGCUAGUAAUCGCGGAUCAGCUUGCCGCGGUGAAUACGUUCCCGGGUCUUGUACACACCGCCCGUCACACCAUGGGAGUGGGCUUUACCAGAAGUAGUUGGCCUAACCGCAA